ACACGUGGGUAACCUGCCUGUAAGACUGGGAUAACUCCGGGAAACCGGGGCUAAUACCGGAUGCUUGUUUGAACCGCAUGGUUCAAACAUAAAAGGUGGCUUCGGCUACCACUUACAGAUGGACCCGCGGCGCAUUAGCUAGUUGGUGAGGUAAUGGCUCACCAAGGCAACGAUGCGUAGCCGACCUGAGAGGGUGAUCGGCCACACUGGGACUGAGACACGGCCCAGAUUCCUACGGGAGGCAGCAGUAGGGAAUCUUCCGCAAUGGACGAAAGUCUGACGGAGCAACGCCGCGUGAGUGAUGAAGGUUUUCGGAUCGUAAAGCUCUGUUGUUAGGGAAGAACAAGUGCCGUUCAAAUAGGGCGGCACCUUGACGGUACCUAACCAGAAAGCCACGGCUAAUUACGUGCCAGCAGCCGCGGUAAUACGUAGGUGGCAAGCGUUGUCCGGAAUUAUUGGGCGUAAAGGGCUCGCAGGCGGUUUCUUAAGUCUGAUGUGAAAGCCCCCGGCUCAACCGGGGAGGGUCAUUGGAAACUGGGGAACUUGAGUGCAGAAGAGGAGAGUGGAAUUCCACGUGUAGCGGUGAAAUGCGUAGAGAUGUGGAGGAACACCAGUGGCGAAGGCGACUCUCUGGUCUGUAACUGACGCUGAGGAGCGAAAGCGUGGGGAGCGAACAGGAUUAGAUACCCUGGUAGUCCACGCCGUAAACGAUGAGUGCUAAGUGUUAGGGGGUUUCCGCCCCUUAGUGCUGCAGCUAACGCAUUAAGCACUCCGCCUGGGGAGUACGGUCGCAAGACUGAAACUCAAAGGAAUUGACGGGGGCCCGCACAAGCGGUGGAGCAUGUGGUUUAAUUCGAAGCAACGCGAAGAACCUUACCAGGUCUUGACAUCCUCUGACAACCCUAGAGAUAGGGCUUCCCCUUCGGGGGCAGAGUGACAGGUGGUGCAUGGUUGUCGUCAGCUCGUGUCGUGAGAUGUUGGGUUAAGUCCCGCAACGAGCGCAACCCUUGAUCUUAGUUGCCAGCAUUCAGUUGGGCACUCUAAGGUGACUGCCGGUGACAAACCGGAGGAAGGUGGGGAUGACGUCAAAUCAUCAUGCCCCUUAUGACCUGGGCUACACACGUGCUACAAUGGACAGAACAAAGGGCAGCGAGACCGCGAGGUUAAGCCAAUCCCACAAAUCUGUUCUCAGUUCGGAUCGCAGUCUGCAACUCGACUGCGUGAAGCAGGAAUCGC
rnacentral:rRNA from 1 species